rnacentral:rRNA from 1 species
GACGAACGCUGGCGGCGUGCUUAACACAUGCAAGUCGAACGAAGUGGCGAACGGGUGAGUAUUACGUGGGUAACCUGCCCUCCUUUUUGGGAUAAGCCUUGGAAACGGGGUCUAAUACCGAAUAAAGGGGGAUGGGCUCGCGGCCUAUCGGCUUGUUGGUGGGGUGCUGGCCUACCAAGGCGGUGACGGGUAGCCGGCCUGAGAGGGUGAACGGGCACAUUGGGACGGAGAAAAGGCCCAGGCAAGUAAGGGAGGGAGCAGUGGGGGAUAUGGCACAAUGGGGGAAAGCCUGAUGCAGCGAGGCCGAGGGGGGGAUGAAGGCUUUCGGGUUGUAAACCUCUGUCGCGAUGGAACGGGUAGGUGGAGAAGAAGCGCCGGCUAACUACGUGCCAGCAGCCGCGGUAAUUC